UCCCUCUUAGCUCAGUUGGUAGAGCGCGUCACUAGUACAUUCAGAGAUAGUAAACUUAUGACGAGGUCAGUCGUUCAAGUCGGCUAGAGGGAA